AACGAACGCUGGCGGCAGGCCUAACACAUGCAAGUCGAGCGAAGCCUUCGGGCUUAGCGGCGGACGGGUGAGUAACGCGUGGGAACGUGCCCUUUGGUACGGAAUAGCCCCGGGAAACUGGGAGUAAUACCGUAUGUGGUCGAGAGACGAAAGAUUUAUCGCCAAAGGAUCGGCCCGCGUUGGAUUAGGUAGUUGGUGGGGUAAUGGCCUACCAGGCCGACGAUCCAUAGCUGGUUUGAGAGGAUGAUCAGCCACUGGGACUGAGACACGGCCCAGACUCCUACGGGAGGCAGCAGUGGGGAAUCUUAGACAAUGGGGGAAACCCUGAUCUAGCCAUGCCGCGUGAUCGAUGAAGGCCUUAGGGUUGUAAAGAUCUUUCAGUGGGGAAGAUAAUGACUGUACCCACAGAAGAAGCCCCGGCUAACUCCGUGCCAGCCGCCGCCGUAAUAC
rnacentral:rRNA from 1 species